AGACCCGAAACCCGGUGAUCUAGCCAUGGGCAGGUUGAAGGUUGGGUAACACUAACUGGAGGACCGAACCGACUAAUGUUGAAAAAUUAGCGGAUGACUUGUGGCUGGGGGUGAAAGGCCAAUCAAACCGGGAGAUAGCUGGUUCUCCCCGAAAGCUAUUUAGGUAGCGCCUCGUGAAUUCAUCUCCGGGGGUAGAGCACUGUUUCGGCAAGGGGGUCAUCCCGACUUACCAACCCGAUGCAAACUGCGAAUACCGGAGAAUGUUAUCACGGGAGACACACGGCGGGUGCUAACGUCCGUCGUGAAGAGGGAAACAACCCAGACCGCCAGCUAAGGUCCCAAAGUCAUGGUUAAGUGGGAAACGAUGUGGGAAGGCCCAGACAGCCAGGAUGUUGGCUUAGAAGCAGCCAUCAUUUAAAGAAAGCGUAAUAGCUCACUGGUCGAGUCGGCCUGCGCGGAAGAUGUAACGGGGCUAAACCAUGCACCGAAGCUGCGGCAGCGACACUGUGUGUUGUUGGGUAGGGGAGCGUUCUGUAAGCCUGUGAAGGUGUGCUGUGAGGCAUGCUGGAGG
rnacentral:rRNA from 1 species